AUGUGAUGGUGAGGAUAAGACUCAAAAAACUUCUUGAAAUGCUCCCAAUAUUCGUAGAGUGUCUCCCCAUCUCUUUGUAUGAUAUAAGAAAUCUCUUUCCUCAAACA